GGGCGACACAUCCAGAUAAUCCUAUUUUUACCAAUUAUCUUACACAUCUUAUGCACUGUGCAUGAUCCGUUUCAAUCUUUCUAUCUAUUUCCAUCUGCUUCCAUCCAUAAUCCAUCUUCAAUCUUUUUUGUAAACCACUCACAUCUCUCUACAUCUAGUGCGGUCGACGAGGCGAUCGACGUAAACAAAGUUAACAAUUUUGUUGUCAUCGUUGCGGGAAUCAUUUCAGACGUUCCGAUGUUCCGAUAAGUGAAUUGCAGUUCCACGCCAAAUGCAACCUUCCAAAGAUGCUGCCGUUAAUCGUACAAUAAAAGUUGGUUGGUGGGUGGCGGCAAGCAGCAUCCGGAGCACCAUCUGUGAAAGAGGAGCAACCCAGUUGCCGUGCCGGUGCCCGUAUGACUCGGCCAAGGGCGUGCCGCGCGAGGAAACAUCCCGCAAAAUCUGCAAUCAUCGACGACGAAGAUAACGCAUAACGGGGACAGACGAAGGGUGCUUCCAACACCGACGUCGACGGGAUUGCCCAAUAGCUCCUCCGGUUAUCGGAACGCGAGUUUGGCAGCGACUGCCGUUGGUGCAGCUUAUCCGACGGAAGCAACUAUCAAGGUGCGAGCAUAUAACAAGCUGGAGGGGUAACCAAAAUGCCCAGUCAAAAAACUCGAUAUUUUUCGCCAACGAAGAUGUUGGUUUCGGGAACCUGGCGGACCGAGGAAUUCUAUCGAACCCGAACCGAUUAAGCCUCUACCACCAAAGCGCUCUUGGUUUAAAACUUCGUUCGAUCAAUUGUUGCUCCAGCAGCUGCUCCUUCAGUGCCUUUAUUUUUCCCAGAGGCAGGUGAUGCGCAUCCUAAGAAACCAGCACCAGGCCACCAGCUGCAAUUAAACCUCAUCAACCUGAUUUCACAAAAUAAACGCGUCAGCGAGCCACUCGAAGUCGAUUAUCCAUUAUGGGCACUAUAAAGCUGGUAAAGGUGGAACUUCCUGUAUCGAUAAAGCCGCCCGGUAGCACAGCACAUAGGAAAACGUCUAAAGCUUCGUAACGUUCAGGAGGUUCCGGAUUCUAAGGCAUUUCUGAUGA